AAGAAAUCUUAUUCCCCUAAAUACUAUUAGGCCAACCCAUGCCCACAUGGAAGAGACUAUGCUAAAAUGAGUAACAAGAAGGCCCGCCCUUCUCCAAGCACAAGUGUAAGCCAAAACGGACCAACCAUUGGCAACUAACGAACUCAACCCAAGAGAGCAAUGUGAACUACAAGUAUAAACAAGAAGAACCCACAACUAGACCAUCGUUACCCCCACACUGGAGUGCCAUCAGAGGAAAGACUAAAAGAAAGGGAAGGAACUCGGCAAACACAAGCCUCGCCUGUUUACCAAAAACAUCGCCUCCUGCAACGCAGCCAAGUAUAGGAGGUCCAGCCUGCCCAGUGACUACAAGUUCAACGGCCGCGGUAUUUUGACCGUGCAAAGGUAGCGCAAUCACUUGUCUUUUAAAUAGAGACCUGUAUGAAUGGCUAAACGAGGGCUUAACUGUCUCCCCUUUCAAGUCAGUGAAAUUGAUCUACCCGUGCAGAAGCGGGUAUAAUUAUACAAGACGAGAAGACCCUUUGGAGCUUAAGGUACAAAACUCAACCACGUUAAGCAACUCAGUAAAAAGCAAAAACUUUAUGGGAUAUGAUAUUUUACCUUCGGUUGGGGCGACCACGGAAGAAAAAAGAUCCUCCGAGUGGACCGGGAUAAACCUCCUAAAACCAAGAGACACACCUCUAAGCCACAGAACAUCUGACCAAACAUGAUCCGGCCAUAAAGGCCGAUCAACGAACCAAGUUACCCUAGGGAUAACAGCGCAAUCCUCUCCCAGAGUCCAUAUCGACGAGGGGGUUUACGACCUCGAUGUUGGAUCAGGACAUCCUAAUGGUGCAGCCGCUAUUAAGGGUUCGUUUGUUCAACGAUUAAAGUCCUACGUGAUCUGAGUUCAGACCGG
rnacentral:rRNA from 1 species